UGACAAUACUAGAGCCCUCAGUUCUCUGCUUGCUAUCACCAGAGGCACAUGGGGACUCGGACAGCAGGGCCUAAUCUCACCCACUGGGAGAAGGGGUUGCCAAUCACCCGAGCAGUUACUGGUUACCUCUGGAGGUAAUGGAUUCUCCCUUACUGGAAGUUUUUAAGUAAAUUGAAGGGAGUGGAGACAACAUUCCUGAUGCUCCCAAAAAACCAGGGAAGGCGGCUGUGUUAAGAAUGCCUGACCGAUCAGCUGAUGCUCUCUUUAUCUCUGCUCUGAGCCUGACUGACAUCUCUGAACACUUUUGCAUCUACUCAGCCUGAAGUUUGUUACUAUAUUGCUCCAUGUCAGGGUGGGGACAGAGAGAGGA